rnacentral:misc_RNA from 1 species
UCCUCGUUUAAGCGAGGCAGUCUGUCCAGAGUGCUUCGAACUCUCGUCCGAGUGGCAACAGGACACAAGGGUUGCGCUCGUUGCGGGACUUAACCCAACAUCUCACGACACGAGCUGACGACAGCCAUGCAGCACCUGUGUUACGGCUCUCUUGCGAGCACGCUCAGAUCUCUCCGAGCUUCCGUACAUGUCAAGGGUAGGUAAGGUUUUUCGCGUUGCAUCGAAUUAAUCCACAUCAUCCACCGCUUGUGCGGGUCCCCGUCAAUUCCUUUGAGUUUUAAUCUUGCGACCGUACUCCCCAGGCGGUCUACUUCACGCGUUAGCUGCGUUACCAAGUUAAUUAAAACCCGACAACUAGUAGACAUCGUUUAGGGCGUGGACUAC